rnacentral:rRNA from 1 species
UACGAAGGGGGCUAGCGUUGCUCGGAAUUACUGGGCGUAAAGCGCACGUAGGCGGCUCUUUAAGUCGGGGGUGAAAUCCUGGAGCUCAACUCCAGAACUGCCUUCGAUACUGUAGAGCUUGAGUUCGGGAGAGGUGAGUGGAACUGCGAGUGUAGAGGUGAAAUUCGUAGAUAUUCGGAAGAACACCAGUGGCGAAGGCGACUAACUGGACAUGUAUUGACGCUGAGGUGCGAAAGCGUGGGGAGCAAACAGG